rnacentral:rRNA from 1 species
GAUGAACGCUAGCUACAGGCUUAACACAUGCAAGUCGAGGGGCAUCAGGAAGAAAGCUUGCUUUCUUUGCUGGCGACCGGCGCACGGGUGAGUAACACGUAUCCAACCUGCCCUUUACUCGGGGAUAGCCUUUCGAAAGAAAGAUUAAUACCCGAUAGCAUAAUGAUUCCGCAUGGUUUCAUUAUUAAAGGAUUCCGGUAAAGGAUGGGGAUGCGUUCCAUUAGGUUGUUGGUGAGGUAACGGCCCACCAAGCCUUCGAUGGAUAGGGGUUCUGAGAGGAAGGUCCCCCACAUUGGAACUGAGACACGGUCCAAACUCCUACGGGAGGCAGCAGUGAGGAAUAUUGGUCAAUGGGCGUUAGCCUGAACCAGCCAAGUAGCGUGAAGGAUGAAGGCUCUAUGGGUCGUAAACUUCUUUUAUAUAAGAAUAAAGUGCAGUAUGUAUACUGUUUUGUAUGUAUUAUAUGAAUAAGGAUCGGCUAACUCCGUGCCAGCAGCCGCGGUAAUACGGAGGAUCCGAGCGUUAUCCGGAUUUAUUGGGUUUAAAGGGAGCGUAGGUGGACUGGUAAGUCAGUUGUGAAAGUUUGCGGCUCAACCGUAAAAUUGCAGUUGAUACUGUCAGUCUUGAGUACAGUAGAGGUGGGCGGAAUUCGUGGUGUAGCGGUGAAAUGCUUAGAUAUCACGAAGAACUCCGAUUGCGAAGGCAGCUCACUGGACUGCAACUGACACUGAUGCUCGAAAGUGUGGGUAUCAAACAGG